AGAGUUUGAUCAUGGCUCAGAACGUACGCUGGCGGCACGCCUUAUACAUGCAAGUCGAACGAAGUAGCAAUACUUAGUGGCAGACGGGUGAGUAACAUGUAGGUAUCUACCCUUUGGUGAGGAAUAACACGAGGAAACUUGUGCUAAUACCUCAUAAGUCUUUACGGAGAAAGCUUUAUGCGCCGAAGGAUGAGCCUGCACUUGAUUAGUUUGUUGGUGGGGUAAUGGCCUACCAAGACUUUGAUCUAUAGCUGAUCUGAGAGGAUGAUCAGCCACAUUGGGACUGAGACACGGCCCAAACUCCUACGGGAGGCAGCAGUAGGGAAUAUUGCACAAUGGAGGAAACUCUGAUGCAGCGAUGCCGCGUGAGUGAAGAAGGCCUUUGGGUUGUAAAGCUCUUUCGUCGGGGAAGAAAAUGACUGUACCCGAAUAAGAAGGUCCGGCUAACUUCGUGCCAGCCGCCGCGGUAAUUC
rnacentral:rRNA from 1 species